AUGAGGAAUAAGCAAACCUUUUUUUCUUUUCGCUCUCCAAAACCAAACGGUUACAAAACUUUAAUUUUUCCCCCUUCUCAUUAUUCCACUACCAGUGUCAUCCCUCAUUACUCUACAAAACAAUUACAUCUUCCAUCUUCCUCUUCCCUCUUUUUGAUGCAUCUCUCUCUUUCUUCUUUCAAGUUAUUCUUUGAAAAUCAAUCUCAUCUCUCUUGCAAACAAAAAUCAAAAGAAUGGUUCAAAGUGAAAUCAAGAAAGAGUUUCACGAAUCAAUCAGAAUGGGGAAGUUGGUGGUGGUUAUGA